GCCGAUGUAGUUCAAUGGCAGAACGCAAGCUUCCCAAGCUUGACACGCGGGUUCGAUUCCCGUCAUCGGCU
rnacentral:tRNA from 1 species